ACGGGGGCAUUAAGGAAAUUUCCUUUCUCUUCUCGGAAGAAGGAGCAGACCUCUCAUCAGCCCAGAACCUCUUGGGAGCCCGGACAACAAACAGAGGAGGAGGCCGACCAGAUGAUCUGGGUAAAACAGUCUCAGCAGCUUGCCGAAUAGUCCCACCCAUCGGCCGCCCUACCAGAAGGAUCUCUAAAGCACCGUCCAGACUCCUUAG
rnacentral:lncRNA from 1 species